CCCUAACAUAGCUAAAACUAAAAACAAACUAAAAACUACUUCCAAAAAUAUUCAGCUUUGAUAUUAAUGAGUUUUUUGGGUUCAUUGAGAACAUGGUUGUUGUUCAAUAAUAAAAUUAAUCCUCAAAAAUACAACUUGCCUAAUAAUUCUGUACUCCCUGUAAAUACUUUUUUACCCCUCAACAUCUAAUCCCACCCUCAAAACGUUUGUAAGGAAAUUACACACAUAUAUGACACAGAUUUUGUCUUCACUCAACCACAGCCAUGCUAACAUCACCAAACGAGAAAGAUUGGGGUUGGAAAGACUUUCCAGAGCUCCUAACAUCAUCAUAAGACCGGCUAAUAAAAGUGGCAAUACUGUUAUAAUGAAUUAUGGUGAUUACUGCACCAAUAUCAUUGGACAACCUGUCUGCUGCUUGCACCUACAAUAGGGCUAAUCAUUACCCAGGCAUUGAAUUUGCACGUAUACUUUGAGAAACACUUGAGGAUGUUUCACAGAGGUCAACUAUUUCAAAUGACCUUCUGAAUUACGUAUUUGUCUAAGUGUACACAGCUCCAGAAAAUUCACAAGAAUGCCCAAUGUCUACCAAGGAGAUUUAUUGGCUCUGCUAAAAGAAGUCUCCUGGAAUAAGUUUCGGGAAUGGCUGGAUUCUAUUUUGAAAGAACCUGUCACUUCUUUCCCCACCUGUGUCAAAGAUACUGGGGUAGUAAGACUCAAUGAUUUACAUAUACCACAUAUGGAAAUUAUCCUAGUCACAAUGGAUGUGUACAGCCUCUACACGGUCAUCCCACAUGCAAAGGGGAUCAAGGCUGUGGAGGAAGUGCUGUCUGGGGCACUUGAACCAGUAAAGUAUCCUACUGAUUCUGUUUUUGCACUGUUGAGACUAACCUUGAAAAUUAAUUAUUUCCAAAUUGAGGAUAGAUUCCAUGUACAACAAACUGGCAUGUCCAUGGUUACGGCUAUGGUGCUUAUGUACACCAAUGCCUUUAUGUAGAUAUAUGAGAGAGAUCAGAUAUUAAAUAUAUUUUCACAAAAUAUCGUCACCUUCAUGCAUUUCAUCUACUUCAUUUUUUUGGUGUAGAAAGGCGAGGCGCAUGAAUUGGAACAUAUGUUGUUAUACUUGAAGUCACUGCAAUCCACAGUUUGGUUUACUUAUAAGUUUAGUACAGACAGACAACAUUGAUUUUCUGAAUUUGAGCAUUAGCCAAAUCAAUGGGCACUUGGUAUUCAGUUUAUGCAGAAAACCCACUGAUCGCAAUACACUUCCAUCCUCUGAGACAUAAGCAGUCUCUCCCCAUCUCUCCAUUUAAGCAAGUGAUGCAGCAGAAUUGAAAGCAAUAGGCAGAGCUAGAGAGCGAAUUGCUCCACAAUUAGUUAACGCAGUGGAGCAGACGGAUCUUCUCUAAUAAGAGGUGCACCAAUUUCACUGAGAUACCAAUGCAUACAGAUCAAUUUUACCAAUGCCUGAGGGGGAAAACGUAAAAUAACGCUGACUACUACAGGUGCUUAGGGUGCACCACAUGCAGCCAUAUGAUCCAGGGUAGGUAAUUUCAUCACCCUCAUUUGGGAAAAUCAUACAAAAUUGACCAACUGCAUGACUCAAUCUGUAAUUUAAAGGAUUGUAUGCACCUGUGGGUUAGCAUAUAUUGGAAUGACUAAAAAUAGUCUCAGGGAAUGUUUUGCUAAUCACAGGACAUUCAUCCGCAAUGUAUGCAAGGGCGUCAGGGAAGCCCCAACAGUGGCAAGAUAUUUUGCACAGAUGGGCCAUCAGCUGGCCACUUUGAUGUUUACAGGGAUCGACCAAGUCCCAGUUCCAUGCAGGGGUGGAGAGAGCGACUUGGAAUUGACCAAAAAAGAAGCAUAUUAAAGUUUUAAGUUGGACACUGUGUCUCCGAAGGGUCUUAAUGAGAGGAUUUCCCUUCUUACCUAAGAGACUAAUUAUUUACUGUCUUGUUCAGAUCAUAGAAUGUAAUUUGGUUUGUUUACUGCAUGCUGCUUUUUGCUUCACAUUGGUAAGGUAUUUAGUUUUCAGCAGUUUAGGUGGUCUACUCCUACAUGACGCGAGUUGCCUCCGUUAGUUAGUUUGUUACAUAUUAUGUUAAAGGGAUUCUAUAGUGCCCGGAAAACAAACGUGUUUUCCCGGCACUGUAGAAUCCAACAGUUCCCCCCUCCCUCUCACACCCCAUCCCACGUUGCUGAGGGGGUUAAAACCCCUUCAGUUACUCACCUGAAUACAGCGCCAAUGUAUACAGUUACUCACCUGAAUACAGCUCCGUUCACGCUCCUCCCCCGCCGACAUCAGCUGCCAGGGGAGACCUAAUGCGCAUGAGUGGCAAUGGCCACCUUCGCAAUAGGGUUUCCCUAUAGGAAAGCAUUAUGCAAUGCUUUCCUAUGGAGAUUCCGGUGACGCUGGAAGUCCUCAUGCAGAGCGUGAGGAUGUCCAGCGUUGUUUAGACAACCAACAGUCGUCUAAAUACCCGGAAGUCCCCACAGUGGCUGUCUGGUAGACUUAGCCCUGCAAAGUAAUUAUUGCAGUUUCUCAGUAAUUAUUGCAGAUUCUCAGAAACUGCAAUGAUUACCACUGUAGAGUUAAGAGACAUGGGACAUUGCACCCAGACCACUUCAAUGAGCUGAAGUGGUCUAGGUGCCAACAGUGUCCCUUUAAGUGCCUGUAUACAUGUUCUGAAGCUAUGUUCAUUAAGUGUGGUGGUAACUAGCCCUGGUAAUUUUUGUGUUAAUAUGUUUUUACUAUGUAACAUUGGCAUUUCUAUCUAUAUGAUGUGCUUAGGAUGUUACUUGUAUUUUCACCUUUUCAUUGAUCUGUAUGGAUGACUGGUAUAUAGAACUUUGCUGCACAUAUCAGAUUCUACUUUAUACGUUACCGUUAUGCAUUACAGGGGGGAAAAAAGUAUUUGAUCCCCUGCUGAUUUUGAACGUUUGUCCACUGACAAAGAAAUGAUCAGUCUAUAAUUUUAAUGGUAGAUGUAUUUUAACAGUGAGAGACAGAAUUAAAAAAAAUCCUGAAAAAUACAUGUCAAAAAAGUCAUAAAUUGAUUUGCAUGUCAAUUAAUGAAAUUAGUAUUUGAUCACCUAUCAAUCAGCAAGAUUUCUUGCUCCCAGGCGUCUUUUAUACAGGUAACAAGCUGAGAUUUGGAGCACUCCAUUUAAGAGAGUGCUCCUAAUCUCAGCUCGUUACCUGUAUGAAAGACACCUGUCCACAGAAUCAAUCAAUAAAUCAGAUUCCAAACUCUCCACCAAAGAGCUGUCCAAGGAUGUCAGGGACAAGACUGUAGACCUACACAAGGCUGGAAUGGGCUACAAGACCAUCGCCAAGCAGCUUGGUGAGAAGGUGACAACAGUUGGUGCGAUUAUUCGCAAAUGUAAGAAACACAAAAUAACUGUCAGUCUCCCUUGGUCUGGUCUUCCAUGCAAAAUCUCACCUCGUGAAAUGUCAAUGAUCAUAAGAAUGGUGAGGAAGCAGCACAGAACUACACAGGAGGAUCUUGUUAAUGAUCUCAAGGCAGCUGGGACCACAGUCACCAAGAAAACAAUUGGCAACACACUACGCUGUGAAGGACUGAAAUCCUGCAGCACCUGCAAAGUCCCCCUGCUCAAGAAAACACAUGUACAGGCCUGUCUGAAGUUUGCCAACGAACAUCUGAAUGAUUCAGAGGAGAACUGGGUGAAAGUGUUGUGGUCAGAUGAGACCAAAAUCAAGCUCUUUGGCAUCAACUCAACUUGCCGUGUUUGGAGGAGGAGGAAUGCUGCCUAUGACCCCAAGAACACCAUCCCCACCGUCAAACAUGGAGGUGGAAACAUUAUGCUUUGGGGGUAUUUUUCUGCUAAGGGGACAGAACAACUGCACCACAUCAAAGGGACGAUAGACAGGGCCAUAUACCGUCACAUCUUGGGGGGAACCUCCUUCCCUCAGCCAGGGCAUUGAAAAUGGGUCUUAGAUGGUUAUUCCUGCAUGACAAUGACCCAAAACACACAGCGAAAGCAACAAAGAGGUGGCUCAAGAAGAAGCACAUUAAGGUCUUGGAGUGGCCUAGCCAGUCUCCAGACCUCAAUCCCAUAAAAAAAUCUGUGGAGGGAGCAGAAGGUUGGAGUUGCCAAACGUCAGCCUCGAAAACUUAAUGACUUGGAGAGGUGUGGGAGAAAAUCCCUCCUGAGAUGUGUGCAAACCUGGUGGCCAACUACAAGAAACGUCUGCCCUCUGUGAUUGCCAACAAGGGUUUUUCCACCAAGUACUAAGUCAAAGGGGUCAAGUACUUAUUUUACUUAUUACAUGCAAAUCAAGUUAUAACUUUUUUGACACGCGUUCUGGAUUUUUUAUGGGGGUUAUUCUGUCUCUUACUGUUAAAAUACACCUACCAUUAAAAUUAUAGACUGAUUAUUUCUUUGUCAGUGGGCAAACAUUCAAAAUCAGCAAGGGAUCAAAUACUUUUUUCCCUCACUGUAUACUUGUGUUUCAUGGUACUCAGUGGUAGUUUCUAUGGUGAUGGGGGUGGGGUGUUAAUUUCAUACUGAGGAUGAGGAGCCUAUUUUUCACUUUUGUAGAGUUUGCCCAGGAUAUUUAAAUCCAUUGUUUUGCUAUUGCUUGUUAUCCUGCUGAAAGUCCAGUUUCGAUAACAAGCAAUACAAUGGAUACAAACAAAUACUUAAGCAUAUUUGAGCAAGAUCAGUGAGUGCAUUAUCUUUCUUUAU
rnacentral:lncRNA from 1 species